GGGCUUGUGGUCUAGUGGUAUGACAUCUUCUUAGCAUAGUUCGGAUGUCCUGAGCGGCGAAUGGAGAAGGUCCGGCGUUCAAUUCGCCGCUAGUCCA